UCCUUAUAUAACGAUAUUAUACGCAAGACAGUAUAGUCGCUCCCUGUAAGGAAUAAAAUGCGAGAGGUGGUGUUGUAUUAGUGAGAUAACAUCAAGGUUGAAAUACCAAUGCCUCUCAGGAUAACCGUAAGUCCUUAAGAAUUAUUAUUCUUUAAAAUUAAUCUUUUAGAAUUAUGAAAGUCAAAUUUGGUACUUUUAUAUAUUUUAAAAGUUACGGUACU
rnacentral:sRNA from 12 species